AGAGGAGCUUGCUCCUCUGACGUUAGCGGCGGACGGGUGAGUAACACGUGGAUAACCUACCUAUAAGACUGGGAUAACUUCGGGAAACCGGAGCUAAUACCGGAUAAUAUAUUGAACCGCAUGGUUCAAUAGUGAAAGACGGUUUUGCUGUCACUUAUAGAUGGAUCCGCGCCGCAUUAGCUAGUUGGUAAGGUAACGGCUUACCAAGGCAACGAUGCGUAGCCGACCUGAGAGGGUGAUCGGCCACACUGGAACUGAGACACGGUCCAGACUCCUACGGGAGGCAGCAGUAGGGAAUCUUCCGCAAUGGGCGAAAGCCUGACGGAGCAACGCCGCGUGAGUGAUGAAGGUCUUCGGAUCGUAAAACUCUGUUAUUAGGGAGAACAAAUGUGUAAGUAACUAUGCACGUCUUGACGGUACCUAAUCAGAAAGCCACGGCUAACUACGUGCCAGCAGCCGCGGUAAUACGUAGGUGGCAAGCGUUUAUCCGGAAUUAUUGGGCGUAAAGCGCGCGUAGGCGGUUUUUUUAAGUCUGAUGUGAAAGCCCACGGCUCAACCGUGGAGGGUCAUUUGGAAACUGGAAAACUUGAGUGCAGAAGAGGAAAGUGGAAAUUUCCAUGUUGUAGCGGUGAAAAUGCGCAGAGAUAUGGAGGAAACACCAGUGGCGAAGCGACUUUUCUGGUCUGUAACUGACGCUGAUGUUGCGAAAGCGUGGGGAUCAAAACAGGGAUUAGAUACCCUGGUAGUCCACGCCGUAAAACGAUGA
rnacentral:rRNA from 1 species